GCUUUACCUCUCUACUGACUGGACAUGGGGACAUGGAGCUGCAGGAGCCUUUUCUCUGUGGGUAUAGGACAAGAGAAGUUCUGAAGUCCAUCAGAUUCAUCUGCCUCUCUUACAUGGCCCAUGUAGCAGCACCUGUCUGACUCACCCACCAAUAUAGCACCAUGACAGACUGAACCUUGUUGAAGUCUUUCCAACUCAGUAGGCUGGAAGGCCAAAAGACAAUUGUUCAGCAGCACAGGCAGCCUUCAGUAGACAAUCAGAAUGUGCCUACAGCUGAAGAGUCUCUCUGUUGUGAUGGCUUUGUCAUUCUUAAAUCUGAUUUCACAGAACUUGAAAAGAAGGUUUUUUUUGGUAUGGUCUGAGUAGCGGCAGCUGAGGAGAGUGCCAGAAAAGAAACUGUUCAAAAUAUGAUUUGGAUGAUACCAAAAAGGAACUGGAGGAGGUGCAUGCUGAUCUUGUCAUGGUCAUGCAGGAACUUGAUUUGGCAAGAGCUGAGGUAAAGCAACGUGUGUGAGCAUUGUCUGAAUGAAUGUUGCAAUACCAGCUGGUUAGUUGUCCCCUUUGUGGUGGUGGUUAGUGAAUGCUUCUUUUAUAUAUAUAUAUGCAUAUAUAUAUAUAUAUAUACUUAACAUAAGAAGGGAAUUUUAU